CAUGGAGGGUGAGAAUCCCGUCUGUGACCGGUUGCUCGUUCAUCUAUGAUACGCUUUCAAAGAGUCGAGUUGUUUGGGAUUGCAGCUCCAAAUGGGUGGUAAACAUCACCUAAGGCUAAAUAUUGGCGAGAGACCGAUAGCGAACAAGUACCGUGAGGGAAAGAUGAAAAGAACUUUGAAAAGAGAGUUAAAUAGUACGUGAAAUUGUUGAAAGGGAAACGAUUGAAGUCAGUCGUGCUGGCGCGUAAUCAGCCUACGAUUUGUCAAACAAGUAGUGUGGUGAGCCUCAAAACCGCCAUAUUAUUUGUCUGGCUAAUCGUCGGUGCACUUUCGUGUCGGUUGGUUAACAUCAAUUUCAAAUGUCAUAAAAAGGCUGGAGGGAUGUGGCUCCUUCGGGAGCGUUAUAACUUUUAGCGGAAUGUGGUGUUUGGGAUUGAGGAUUGCAACGAAUACCUUCAGGGCUGUUCCACCUGGUCUCUCUUUGGCAUCUUGGCGGCGACAGCUUGCUGACGUUGUUAAGAGUUGACAUUGAACAGGCUAGAGUGUGAGCAAAUUCGUUAAGGAUGUUGACGUAAUGG
rnacentral:rRNA from 1 species